CAGUCGCCACGGGAAUACAGAGGGUGCGAGCGUUAAUCGGAUUUACUGGGCGUAAAGCGUGCGUAGGCGGCUAAUUGAGUCGGAUGUGAAAUCCCCGAGCUUAACUUGGGAAUUGCAUUCGAUACUGGUUAGCUAGAGUGUGGGAGAGGAUGGUAGAAUUCCAGGUGUAGCGGUGAAAUGCGUAGAGAUCUGGAGGAAUACCGAUGGCGAAGGCAGCCAUCUGGCCUAACACUGACGCUGAGGUACGAAAGCAUGGGGAGCAAACAGGAUUAGAGACCCGCGUAGUCCCUGUCUCUUAUAC
rnacentral:rRNA from 1 species